ACAGACACCUCCUUCAGAAUUUCAAAUUGUGGGUUUAAUCCUUUCCAGACUGAGAAACUAUAUGUUCUGUGGUCAGUGAAUGAAUCUGUGAAAUUGGGAAUCAUAAUAUAGCACUAAAUAAGAAAAAAAAGAAAGAAAAAAAGAAAGAAAAAAAUGCAGUAGCUGUACUGAAGAAUGGGAAAAAUAAUUUUAUCAACAAGAAUGAUUUCAAGAUUGCAAUGAAAUAAGGAUUGAUGAGACAGAUUGGAAAGAUUCACUUAACUGGAACAAAGGCAGGGAACUUCGAUGCCGUGUUGGAACUCCCUGGAGACCAGGCAACAGGACAUUUCUACAACCUCACUUCUGUUACCAAAGAAGGAAUUGAGUCUUCCUCUCCAUGCAAAAUCAGAAACAGAGAAAUCUCUUCCAGAAAAUCUUUUACUACAUCAGCCCAAGAUAGUUUUCACCCCCUAACAUGUGGGAAUCUGCUUUUCUUUAACAAUCUGACAGUCAAAUGCUACACUUGUUUCUGAGAGAGCCCUAAUCUCCCCCCUUGAAUUUCAAGUGAAGAACAAGCUCCAUUUUGUUGAAACUCAACCCCAAGAAGCAAUGAUACUAGCAUCCAUAAAAAUGACUGCAUGGGCUAUCCUUAGGGAUGCGUUACUGAUGGAAAUGCUUACGCCAAGAAACAGUGAAAAUAUCCAUAUCAAAUGAAAUGUCACUUGGCUCUUCCAAAUCAGGAAAAUAAAUUUGAAAAAGAUACUAGACAAUUCAUGUGUUUGGAAUAUGAGUAGCUCUC